CGGUGCGUGUGUUAGUGACGUCAUGUCAUCUCGCCGCGCGCUUCCGUGUGACGUCACGAAAUCCCAGGAGCUGCUUCUGUGCGCGCAACUCCCUCGGAUCGGAGAGUGGUGAACCUGGAAUGCUGGAUUGGUGACAGUUUGCACGGCAGUGGGUUCAGCCUGCUUGGACAGUGCGUGGGCAAAACCUGCCCUGUCACAGAGAGAGGCAGACUGACCAGUGGCUUCCAAGUCGGUAAUCAAUCACAUGGAGAAGAAAGGCUCGGCAAAUGCUGGAAGUACAAGGCACCAAUGCAUCCAGUGUCCAUACAGCACAGAUCAGAUGGGUAACUUGAAGAGACAUCAAGAGAAAACACACUGGCGAGAAGUCCUUCAAGUGCAGUGUAUGUGGUAUGGCAUUUGCAGAGUCAGUUUUUCUAAAGAAACAUAACUAGAACACACAUGGGCGAAGAAGCCCUUCAAAUGCAGUGUAUGUGGUAAGGCAUUUGCAGAGUUAGCAUAUCUUAGGAAACAUAAUAGAACACACACGGGCGAGAAGCCCUUCAAGUGCACUGUGUGUGGCAAGACAUUUGCUCGUUCAGACAUUCUUCAUAUUCAUCAGAGAACACACAC